AGCUACCUUACGAAUGGGACUGUCUACACGUCAAAUACAAAAGCUAAAAUUCAUGGUUGCAACGCAAUUUUCACGGUCUACCUUGGAGCUGUGGAAAGAUACCGUUCGAGAAAGUGGAAUGGACAAUUGAAUACGAUCGGAACAGCGUCGUGUAGGGAA